UCGAGAAUCUUCCUCAAUGGGCGCAAGCCUGAAGGAGCAAUGCCGCGUGCGGGAUGAAGGCCCUCGGGUUGUAAACCGCGAAAGUAAGGAGGAAGGCUCUGUGAAGAGCAGGGUUUGACCGAUUUACAGUAAGGCCGGGCUAAGUUCGUGCCAGCAGCCGCGGUAAGACGAACCGGCCAAACGUUAUUCGGAAUUAUUGGGCUUAAAGGGUGCGUAGGCGGCGCGGUCAGUCAGGUGUGAAAUCCCACGGCUCAACCGUGGAACUGCGCUUGAUACUGCCGUGCUUGAGGGAGACAGAGGUAAGCGGAACUGAUGGUGGAGCGGUGAAAUGCGUUGAUAUCAUCAGGAACACCAGUGGCGAAAGCGGCUUACUGGGUCUCUUCUGACGCUGAGGCACGAAAGCGAGGGUAGCGAACGGGAUUAGAUACCCGCGUAGUCC
rnacentral:rRNA from 1 species